rnacentral:rRNA from 1 species
UACGUAGGGACCAAGCGUUGUUCGGAUUUACUGGGCGUAAAGGGCGCGUAGGCGGCUUGACAAGUCACUUGUGAAAUCUCCGGGCUUAACUCGGAACGGCCAAGUGAAACUGUCAUGCUAGAGCGCAGAAGGGGCAAUCGGAGUUCUUGGUGUAGCGGUGAAAUGCGUAGAUAUCAAGAGGAACACCUGAGGUGAAGACGGGUUGCUGGGCUGACACUGACGCUGAGGCGCGAAAGCCAGGGGAGCAAACGGG